GGACCUCUGGCGCAACGGUAGCGCGUUCGACUCCAGAUCGAAAGGUUAUCCGUUCAAAUCGGGUGGGGUUCA
rfam:Pseudomassariella vexata strain CBS 129021 BCR38scaffold_12, whole genome shotgun sequence.